rnacentral:lncRNA from 1 species
CAUGGGUCUGCAGAAUAAGACUAAUUAAAACAGUUGAGAACAUGCAGUGCCAGUGCAGCUGUGCAGUGAUGAUGAUGAUGAUCUUGCACCAUAUACCAGCUCUGUGCUAGUGAUCCCGAAGAUCAUAUGACGAUUUGGAGACAGAAAAAGUACGACAAUUAAGUAAGUUAACGCGGAUGACUUCCUGAUGCAGGCCUAUUCAGUUAAAUGAUGCACUAUGGACGUAUCAUGUCUUGCUCUAACACGUUUGAACCUACCAUAAGAAGUGCUUAGUUGGAGUUUAAGGAGUUUUGUGCUGAUCAGCAGAGGGUUUACUACCGCUAGCUUGUUUAUAGAUCAUCACCCCAUUGUGCGGGGAAUCUAUGGAAUCUAUGGAAUCAUCGGACGGGAGACGAGAGCAGAGUUACUUUAACAGACAAAAUCCAGGAAGUGAAAGAGCAGCCUCUACUGUUUGGAUGGAACCAGUUUGAUGCUGUGGGAUCAGGGUUAUAGACCGGGGGAGUAUCAAGGACUUAUAUGUCCUUAUACACUUCUGGAUUUGAUUUACACCUGGCUGUACAAGUAUGGUGAUCUGAGAAGUAUGAGCAUACUUCAUGAAGCCUGAAGCAGCUAUAC